rnacentral:lncRNA from 1 species
CUUGAAAGAAUAAAAUAAUCUAAUUCCACUAGCCUACUGAUGAGAGUUUUCAGGUACAACAGUUGUUAAGUAGCACACCUGCUAAGAAAUUGUUUGUACAUCAGGAGAAGUGAAGUGUACAGCCUUGCCUGAGAGAGUACAAGCAAUUUUGGAUGGAUGAAAAGAUCAGAAUAAAAUGAGAAGCAACACAAGCUGACAGACCCAUGGGUGAAAAUACACUAAAAUGAACUUAAAAUCACUAUUCUAAAGUAGUGUGGAAAAUAUUCUACAAAAUCAGUACACUGAAUCUCACAUAAAGGCAUCUUAUUGAAACAGGAAAAGUCCAGGUAUUAUAAGAACAGCUACACUAUCCUUUAUAGAAUAACUAAAAUUAGGAUGUCCUAGAAAGUAUCUUCCAAUACUAUUUUUCACAAUGACAAAAUCUGAAACAUUCUAGAGGCAGCCAAACAUUAAGGCAAGGAUUGCUCAGGUUACCAUUUAUUUUAUAUAAAAAAGUGAAAUAUGUUGGCUCUUGUCUACAGAUGCAAGAAAUAGGAACUUGAGAAAUUAAAGUUCUGAUAUUAAUCAGCCUUCCCCAAUUAUUGCCAUAAUUGUUCCUGAUUUUUAAUUACUCUUGUCACUUAUUGAUGAAGUCUUGGCAAAAGCAAAGUACUAGAGUAGGAGUCAGGGAUUCACAAGUCUAGUUUCAAUGUUGCCACUAACUAGCUAUGUUCCCAUGGAUAAGUCCUUUCAUCUUUUUGAGUUUUAGUCUAAUUAUAAAAUUAAGUUGAAUAAAAUUAUUCGUUUUGGCCUUGUGACGAAAAUUAGUUAUAUAAAAAAAUGAAAUACAAAAAUAAAUAUGGCCAGGAAAUAAGACAAAAAUUUGACAAAAUUUAAGACGAGGAGAUCUGACUUAAAAGACAAAAAAAAAAAAAAUUCAAUUUAUAUAUUGCCACAAAACCUUCUAUAGAUAAGAUUGGACNCAAAGAUCUAAAAAGAAGCAUGGUAAAACUUUAAGCCAGAAGAGCAUAUAAAUUGCUGAUGGAACACCUUCUCUCCCUGACUGGCAGAGGCUGUCCAGAACGGGAAAUAAAGAGGUCUAAAGCCAGGUCUGAGUUCAGUGGGAAAAAAUGUUGUGAUUUAUUAGUAACAUCCACCAUGGACUCAGGAAGAGUCGUAGCCUAUGCAAGAUAGUUGCUAUACAAGCUGUAAAGCAGUAUUUUAACCGAAUAUAGUAGAUUGCAGUUCUUGUGUUUGAAGAAAUGCCUAAAGAAUUAGGACAGCCUUUCCUCUCAAACAAAACAGUAUAUAAUCUGUCACGUGACAGGUUGCAGUAAAAUAUAACUUUAAAAUGUAACUCUUUUCAGACCCUUAACUGUUCUAUAAAUACAAGGGCAAAGUAGAAAAGCCAGCUGCACCUACAUGUCUUCCCAUUGUUAUUCAUCUUCUCUGCAGAAGUACAAGCUCUGUAAAUUUAUGGGGCACAUGGCUGCCCAGAAUAAUUACUCUGUUUCUCACCCUCUCUCGCAGAUUGAUGGGGCUAUCUGGCUAAGUGCUGACCGACGAGGCUGAGCAGAAAUGUGAACAACUUCCAGGUUGUGCUCUCAUCCCCUUCCUGUGGGCUCCGAGGCAGACUGGGCGGUGAGCCCCAAAGGGGACGAAGAUGAGGUAAUGCCUCACAUCUCUACAUCAGCUGUACACUUCUUAGGGAAAGUUACCUACGACAGAAAUAACCCUCCGCCUUACGCAAGCCACUAUAAUUUCAGGUCUUUCUUAGAGUAAACAAACUCAUAGAUUACCUAAUAAAACAGUUACUUUGGGAUAUAAGAAUGUGCAUAAGAAGAGUUCCCGUUGUGGCGCAGCAGAACUGAAUCCAACUAGGAACCAGAAGGUUGCAGGUUCGAUAUCUGCCUCUCUCAGUGAGUUGAGGAUCCAGGGUUGCCGUGAGCUGCGGUGUAGGUCACAGACAUGGCUCAGAUCUGGUGUUGCUGUGGUUGUGGCAUAGGCCGGCGCUACAGCUCCAAAUGGACCCUUAGCCUGGGAACCUCCAUAUGCAGCGGGUGCGGCUCUAAAGAGACAAAAAAAAAAAAAAGUGCAUAAGAAAUCUGCCUCAUUGUGGGAAAUGUGAUUCAGGAGAAAGUCAUUUCCAUUACGUGGAUAUUUCCAAUAAGUAUCUAAGAAGGUGAAAGUAGCAGUGCAACUACCCAACGGACUACUUCUUACCCUGAGGUUACGUGGGUCAAAUCCAGCCAAGCACCUGUUUGUAAAUAAAGUUUUAUUGGAACACAGCCAUGUUCAUUUGCAUAUUGCCUAUGGCUGCUUUCUAAGUUACAAUAGCAGAGCUGACUUGUUCUGACAGACACCAUAUGGUCCACGAAGCCUAAAAUACUUACUAUCUGGACCUUUACAGAAAAAGUUUUCUGGCCUCUGUGUUGAAAGACAGCAGCCUUUGUACCUAUAAGAAUUCUAAGUGAACUGAUUUCAGAUACAACUUUUUCUAAUUUCCAUAUGGCAGUUUGUCACAUCUAUGUAUUAAUAUUCAACAUCUAACUUUUGGUUUAUCCGAAUACAGCGUUUUCUGUCAGAGGACUAUUUAGAACUUUUUAAUCUCUCCUCACUGCUCUCUCUGUUAAUAGCACUUGAAUGCCACUUAAGCCUAUGGCCAUUUUUCACAAAAAGAUGCUACCUCUCAAAAGAAUAGGCGCAUCACAAAGGUUAGUAGGGAAAACCAGUGGAAUAAGGCACAAUCUACAGGCUGUUGUCUCUACUUCUGAGGCUAGUGACUGAUUCCUACAUUCUGGCCUCAUAAGCAGUGAAACCCAAGUUCAUUCCCUGACCUCAGUGUCACUUAGAUACAGUGACUUUUUUUUUACUGUAAGAAAAUGUAUCUAAAAUACUUAAAGAAAACAAGGCUAUU